rnacentral:rRNA from 1 species
ACGGGGCGCAGCAGGCGAGAAACCUUUGCAAUGUGCGCAAGCACGACAAGGUUAAUCCGAGUGAUUCCUGCUAAAGGAAUCUUUUGUUAGUCUUAAAAUCACUAUUGAAUAAGGGGUGGGCAAGUUCUGGUGUCAGCCGCCGCGGUAAAACCAGCACCUCAAGUGGUCAGGAGGAUUGUUGGGCCUAAAGCAUCCGUAGCCUGCUCUGUAAGUUUCCGGUUAAAUCCAUUAGCUCAACUAAUGGCCUGCCGAAAAUACUGCAGAGCUAGGAAGUGGGAGAGGUAGACGGUACUCGGUAGGAAGGGGUAAAAUCCUUUGAUCUAUUGAUGACCACCAGUGGCGAAGGCGGUCUACCAGAACACGUUCGACGGUGAGGGAUGAAAGCCGGGGGAGCAAUCCGGAUUAGAUACCCGGGUAGUCCCAGCUGUAAACGAUGCAGACUCGGUGAUGCCCUGGCUUGUGGCCAGUGCAGUGCCGCAGGGAAGCCGUUAAGUUUGCCGCCUGGGAAGUACGUACGCAAGUAUGAAACUUAAAGGAAUUGGCGGGGGAGCAC